rnacentral:rRNA from 1 species
GAUGAACGCUAGCUACAGGCUUAACACAUGCAAGUCGAGGGGAAACGGCAUUGAGUGCUUGCACUCUUUGGACGUCGACCGGCGCACGGGUGAGUAACGCGUAUCCAACCUUCCCAUUACUGUGGGAUAACCUGCCGAAAGGCAGACUAAUACCGCAUAGUCUUCGAUGACGGCAUCAGAUUUGAAGUAAAGAUUUAUCGGUAAUGGAUGGGGAUGCGUCUGAUUAGCUUGUUGGCGGGGUAACGGCCCACCAAGGCUACGAUCAGUAGGGGUUCUGAGAGGAAGGUCCCCAACAUUGGAACUGAGACACGGUCCAAACUCCUACGGGAGGCAGCAGUGAGGAAGAUUGGUCAAUGGACGGAAGUCUGAACCAGCCAAGUAGCGUGCAGGAUGACGGCCCUAUGGGUUGUAAACUGCUUUUGUAUGGGGAUAAAGUUAGGGACGGGUCCCUAUUUGCAGGUACCAUACGAAUAAGGACCGGCUAAUUCCGUG